UCCGGGCUGCUCCCUUGUGUGGGUGUUUUGUGGGUAUUUUGUGGGUACAUGUAACUUGGGGGAACGCUGCUCUUCUUCACCCAACAGCAGGGUGAUUUUGACACUGAGGUAGGGAUGGCUUUGGCUCCUGAAUCUGCAGCAAGAAGGAGCCUUGGUCAAGGCAGGUCAGUCAGACAAAAAAAUGUAAGGCACUUCUGCAUUUUAGGUGGCACUGUGUUUGGAAUUGUGCUCUGCAGCAAAUCCCUCAGCAGCAGGAAAGGCCCCAGGAUCUUCCCUAGUUGCCGGUGGGGUUGGAUGUGGUUUAAGGCACCAUCAAGAUUUCCAGAUGGACCAAGGCUGGGUGUGUGCAGAGGCAGAGCUGUAGGAUGGCUCACAGUGAAAUCUGAGGUGGCACCUUCACAGAGCUUGGCAGGCGAGCAUUGCAAUCUGGGCUCACAAGGGUACACGGCAGGAAAAGGAAAUUGAUGUCCGUAAAGUUUAAAAACUCUUUAAUGGUGCAGAGAGACAAAACAGAGAGCUUAUCAUUUUCUGUGCAGUCACAAACCUACACUUGAUUUUUUUCCCAAAUUGUUUUGUUACAGCAAGAUGCUGACGUUUACUCACUGAUGUUGGAUCAUGUGAAUCAAGUGCAUUAGCUGAGUUCUCCUUAGAUUUCUGGCUUAAUUAAAACCAGCCUGCAAACACUGAUCCAGGUGUUAUCCAUCCAUGGAUGGCAAAUGGCUGGCACAGACACCUGGACCUCUGUCUGCAGACUGGGGGAGCAGCCCUGCAGCAGCAGUUGGCUGUCAGUACAAAUUUUUAUAUAUAUAUAUUCAUAUAUCUAUUUAUAUAUCUAUUUAUAUAUGUAUAUACUUAUAUACAUACACACACUUUGAAUAUUUGCGUUUUGAAUGACCCAUCUAUUCUGAUUUUUGGAGUUUAAGAAAAACACCUUUUAAAAAAAUCGCCAUCAUCUGUGAGUGAUUGUGUCCCAAGAGAAAAACCACAGGUUCAGCUUCAGGAGUUUUAGUUGUGAAGGAAUUAAGAAGUGCCUUUGCCUGCCAGGCUUGCCAGUAAAAAGGCCCCAGGUCUAAUCCCCUUUCUGCUACACACCAAUGAAACUUAGAAAACUCUUUGACUAUUGACUUUUUCACGUGGAAACCGAUCUGCUCAAAGUGAAAAGAAACCAUUUCUUGGAGGGGGGAAGAAAAAAACUCUGUGAAACUCUGUUUUGAAGAAGUCGUCGUCCUUGGCCUGUGGAGUAGCAGCAGAAGCAAAGGCUUUUUGAUCCUCAGAUUUGUAAACUUGUAGACAUAAUAAUGCCAUUUCUCUAGUGUUAGCAGGUGUCCUGUCUGGAAGUUGCUGCCUCAGCCUCCAGCAGAGCUGGGAAUUAGAAAAUUGUCUGUCUUUCCUGAACCGUGAAGUGCUGCUCUUAAAUAAAGGCCAGGUCAGAUGUUAAAGGGACAUUCUUGUCUCCUGAAGCCGAAAUAAUCUACAGUCACGUCGAGAAAUGAAGGCAUCCUCCUCCCAAAAUGGUCAAUCUCUUUAUCUCCCAUUAUAGUCUGCCGGGUCAAGAAAAAGCCCCUUCCGUGCCGACAUUUUGCAAUAUUUCUGCUAAGUCUGUAAUUAUUCCGGUUCUGCAUAGCUGAAUUUCAGGAAAAUAACUGGGGAAGUUUUAUUCUCUUCCUUUUUC